rnacentral:misc_RNA from 1 species
GGAAGGGUUGAUUGGAGGUCUGAGUGUUCCCUGCAAACCAAUGGGGUGCAUCGUUUCUAGCCCACUACUUGGAAUUCCUGGUAUUAACCCAAAUGCAUUCCAUGGUGCAGUUUGUGCAGUAGAAACACUCGGCAAACCCCUUCCAGCAAAUAGACUAGGAGGAAAAGACCCAUGGUGAACAAUUUGGGAAGCAAUAUCAACAGGACUAAAC